rnacentral:rRNA from 1 species
ACUCCUACGGGAGGCAGCAGUGGGGAAUAUUGCACAAUGGGGGAAAACCCUGAUGCAGCCAUGCCGCGUGUGUGAAGAAGGCCUUCGGGUUGUAAAGCACUUUCAGUAGGGAGGAAGGUAGUGUAGUUAACACCUGCAUUAUUUGUACGUUACCUACAGAAGAAGCACCGGCUAACUCCGUGCCAGCAGCCGCGGUAAGUACGGAGGGUGCGAGCGUUAAUCGGAAUUACGUGGGCGUAAAGCGCAUGCAGGCGGCCUGUUAAGUCAGAUGUGAAACGCCCGGGGUCUUAACCUCGGAAUUGCAUUUGAAACUGGCAGGCUAGAGUCUGGUAGAGGGGUUAGAAUUUCGAGGUGUAGCGGUAGAAUGCGUAGAGAUCG